CAAUAGCGUAUAUUAAAGUUGUUGCAGUUAAAAAGCUCGUAGUUGGAUUUCUGCUGAGGACGAUCGGUCCGCCCACUGGGUGAGUAUCUGGCUCGGCCUUGGCAUCUUCUUGGAGAACGUUGCUGCACUUGACUGUGUGGCGCGGUAUCCAGGACUUUUACUUUGAGGAAAUUAGAGUGUUUCAAGCAGGCGCACGCCUUGAAUACAUUAGCAUGGAAUAAUGAGAUAGGACCUUGGUUCUAUUUUGUUGGUUUCUAGAGCUGAGGUAAUGAUUAAUAGGGAUAGUUGGGGGCAUUCGUAUUUAACUGUCAGAGGUGAAAUUCUUGGAUUUGUUAAGGACGGACUACUGCGAAAGCAUUUGCCAAGGAUGUUUUCAUUGA
rnacentral:rRNA from 1 species